CGGUACUAAAACCGCUACCCUCCACUCUUUCCCUCGUUUUCUCCCUCCUCACUCGCCAAUUCCAGCCUCUCACUCACUCUCUAGAUUUUUUCAAUAUCAUUUUAGCAGUUUCUUUCAAAUCCUACAAAUACCCAUGUUCUUCUUUGGGCUUUUGUAGAACCAUGGCCGACUUUGAUACUUCUCUGUCUACUCUUUUGUGUCAAGAAGAUGAUGCUUCUUGUUUCAAUCUAAGUGAAGAUGACUAUACUUGUUGUUACGACUCCAACUUUGAGUCUUGUUUUGUUUUAGAGAGUGAAGAGAUUGAAUACAUUGAGAAAAUGGUUGAAAGGGAGAGGAGUUCAGGAUCUAGAACUUAUAUAAUGUCUUCUGGGGAUUGUUUAACCACCAGUUUUAACUGGUUAAAAUGUGCACGAUUGGAUGCCGUUGAAUGGAUUUUCAAUGUCUGUAAUUGUUUUCCCUUUUUCAUGUUUUUGGGUUCUUUCCCUUCUCUGUUUUUUUUAUUCAUGUGUUUUUCUGCUUUUCUUGUAUUCUGAUUUAGACACGAGCAAUCUUUGGAUUUCGGUUUCACACAGCUUAUCUUUCAGUGAUUUACUUUGACCGGUUUCUCUCAAAAAGAUCCAUUGAUGAUGGGAAAUUGUGGGCUAUUCGAUUACUGUCUCUGGCUUGUUUGUCAUUGGCUGCAAAGAUGGAGGAGUGCAGAGUUCCUCCCUUAUCAGAGUUUCCGGUGGAAGAUUAUUGCUUUGAAAAUAAAGUGAUUCAAAGAAUGGAGUUGCUGGUAUUGAAUACCUUGGAGUGGAAAAUGGGUUCAACCACUCCUUUUUCUUAUCUACAUUACUUCAUCAGUAAAAUCUGUGGUGAAUCCAGACCAAAGGAAACAAUCUCUAGAGCUGUGGAACUUAUUCUGGCACUGAUAAAAGAGAUUAAUUUGUUGGAUUAUCAACCAUCCAUUGUCGCAGCGGCUGCAUUAUUAGCUGCAUCUGAUAAUCAAUUAACAAGACAAGAAUUGGAGCUCAAGAUGAAAGUAAUUUCAUCAUGGGGUUCUCUGGAAAGUGUGAGAAUUCUUUACUUUAAAAUAUAUAAUUUUAUUUUAGAUUAUAGAAUUAAAAAAAAAAAGUUCUCAUCUUUUUGAAUUAAAGAACAGAAGAGAUAAUGACGUUGGUUAUUAAUUAAUUUUCAUCUCCUAUUUCACUGCAACAGGAGCAUAUAUUUUCCUGUUAUAUUGUAAUGCAGGAAAUAGAAAUGGGAAAACUUAAGACACCAAAGCAAUUUCUUUCUCCUAGUACAUCAUCAAUCCAUUCUAGUUCAAUUGCUGCUGUUGAGAAUUCUUGCUUCACUUCCUCUGGAGCUGGCACUAAAAGAAGACUCACAUACAGCGACUGUGAUCAAAAUUGUCCGGUAAAGAAAAUAUGUCGUCAUAAUCAGUGAAUUUGAUACUACUUAAGGGGAACUGAAUUGGGUUCAUUGGUUGGAAUAUAGGAUUAUCAUUAUUGCUGUUUUCUUUCUAUGAAAACUGAUCAUUACUACUUAAGUUGGAUUAUAGGUCUAAUGAAUGUUGUUAUAUGGCAAUUAUGGAAUGAUUUUGGAGUUGAUGAUUGGGGUUCCAUUUUCCAAUACCCAACAAAAAGUUCCAGCCAAGUGACAACCCAAGAAGAGGAUAGAGAAAAAAGGGAAAGUAAAUAAAUAAGAAAGGGAUAGCUUUAACCAACAGUAAGAAGAAGUAAAGAAGCUGACUCAAGUUCAAAACCCAUUAAGGUGGAAGAAAGGCCAAGAGAGAAUGCCAGAAGGCCACUGAAGACUCUGUCUAUAGCAUUCUUUGUAUUGUUUCCUUUGAUGAAUAUCCCACUGUUGCUUGCCACUUUUUCCCCCCUUCAAGAACUUGUAUUUCUUUAUCAUCUUUCUUUUUCCUUUUAUUUUAUUUUCAAAAUUUUGUAACAAAGAUAUAUGUGUUGAUCUAUACAUCCAUUGCCACCCUAGCUUUUGAGGAGGGGGGUCUUGGGAUGCUUCUUAUGUCUUUCAAAAAGGCUGAAGACCAUGAGGAAUGAAGAAUUGAU
rnacentral:misc_RNA from 1 species